AAGCGUUUUCUUGGGCUCGCGGCCGGUAGAAGUUCUUUGGAACAGGACAUCAUAGAGGGUGACAAUCCCGUCCGUGACCGGUCGUGCGUUCAUCUACGAUACGCUUUCAAAGAGUCGAGUUGUUUGGGAUUGCAGCUCCAAAUGGGUGGUAAACAUCACCUAAGGCUAAAUAGUGGCGAGAGACCGAUAGCGAACAAGUACCGUGAGGGAAAGAUGAAAAGAACUUUGAAAAGAGAGUUAAACAGUACGUGAAAUUGUUGAAAGGGAAACGAUUGAAGUCAGUCGUGCUGGCGCGAAAUCAACCAUCUCGUCUUGAGGUCACAUGGCGCGGCGAGCCUCAAAACCGUCACGAAGCGUGAACUCUUGACGAGAAGGUGCACUUUCGUGUCCGCUGGUUAACAUCAAUUUCGACCGUCAUAAAAAGGCUGGAGGGAUGUGGCUCCUUCGGGAGUGUUAUAACCUUUAGCGGAAUGUGGUGUUCGGGAUUGAGGAUUGCAACGAAUACCUUCAGGGCUGUUCCACCCGGCUUCUCAUUGGUAUCCUGGUGACGACAGCUUGC
rnacentral:rRNA from 1 species